UACGGGGGGGGCAAGCGUUGUUCGGAAUUACUGGGCGUAAAGGGCUCGUAGGUGGCCAACUAAGUCAGACGUGAAAUCCCUCGGCUUAACCGGGGAACUGCGUCUGAUACUGGAUGGCUUGAGGUUGGGAGAGGGAUGCGGAAUUCCAGGUGUAGCGGUGAAAUGCGUAGAUAUCUGGAGGAACACCGGUGGCGAAGGCGGCAUCCUGGACCGAGAUUGACGCUGAGGCGCGAAAGCCAGGGGAGCAAACGGG
rnacentral:rRNA from 1 species